UUGAUAUCAGGUAAGAGUACCCACUGGAUUUAAGCAUAUAACUAAGUGGAGGAAAAGAAACUAACAAGGAUUCCCCUAGUAACGGCGAGUGAAGCGGGAAGAGCUCAAUCUUAAAAUCUCUAUAUUAAAUUGUAGUGAAUUGUAGUCUAUUGAAUUGGUUUUGCAAUGAACAUAUGGAAAAGUCCCUUGGAAGAGGGCAGCAUAGAGGGUGAUACUCCCGUCUUUGCCGUAUGAUUUAUUGUAUUAAUUCCUCUUUCAUUGAGUCGAGCUGCUUGGGAAUGCAGCUCAAAGCAGGUGGUAAAUUCCAUCUAAAGCUAAAUAUGUGUGUAAGACCGAUAGCGAACAAGUACCGUGAGGGAAAGAUGAAAAGAACUUUGAAAAGAGAGUUAAACAGUACCUGAAACUGCUGAAAGGGAAUCGGAUUGUUGCCAGUGUGAUCCAAUACAUAUUUCAAUAGUGAGUAAUCGUUGUUGCCCUGUGUGUUGGUGUGAUGUUAGGGUCAAUUGAUUUUGCAAGAAAUUGGUAAGAGGGAGGUAGGUGAUAUUUUCGGAUAUGACUAUUAUAUUCUUUUGCUAGUGUUGUGAAUGAGAUUGAGGAAACAAUGUGCAAUUUAUUUACUUUUCAUCUUUUUUGACUUAUUUAUUUUACAGCUUGCUGUUAUUUAAGUAAUGUUUUGAGAAACUUGAUAUGUAGACAAUGCCAUUCGGGACCCUGACAAAAUGGAGCAAUCUGUCCCGUCUUGAAACACGGACCAAGGAGUCUAACAUGUAUGCAAGUAUUUAAGUGGUAAACUUAAAUGCAUAAUGAAAGUGAAUUAAAGCAUUUAGCUUUAUAAGGUAGGAAGAGUUUUACUCUGCACUAUCAACCGAUCUAGAACCUUCGGGUAAAAGAUUUGAGUAUGAGCAUGUAUGUUGGUACCCGAAAGAUGGUGAACUAUGCCUGAAUAGGGUGAAGCCAGGGGAAACUCUGGUGGAGGCUCGUAGCGGUUCUGACGUGCAAAUCGAUCGUCAAAUUUGGGUAUAGGGGCGAAAGACUAAUCGAACCAUCUAGUAGCUGGUUCCCUCCGAAAUUUCCCUCAGGAUAGCA
rnacentral:rRNA from 1 species